CUCUCUCUCUCUAUGGUUGAUGAAGGACACCAGCUGCGCACGAGCUCCACCUACCUGCCCCGCGCGUGCCUCCAAAACUCACCCCUGCCUGCAGCUAAUACUUAAAACACAGUUAGCAGAGACGUUUCUCAAAGAAGGAGAUGUGUGAACGAGCGAGCGGUUGAUGGGGCAUGAGGGAUGGCAAGAGGAAAGGGGAGGUCUGCAUCAUUGAUGUCGAAAUGGAGAAGCUGAUGUCGUGGGAAGCUGAAAUCGGACUGAAGCAUGGUUUGGAGGACGAUAGGGCGAACUGAGACUACCACAGGCUUCUGUCUGAGCUGCCACAGGGCUGCGGUGGCAGCGUUCUCACACCAGCCACUUCCUCAGCCUUCUCACGCUAUGAGGCUCACUGAGCUGUCAGUAUCGUUCAGCGCGCAUAUGCGUGAGGGGACCGUACAUAUCUCUUCGUGAAAGCUUUAAAGCCAGCCUGCGUUUGGGAACAGAUGGUUAGAAACUCAUCAGUGACCCAGUUUGUAUGUACCAUAUCAGGGGAACUAUUUUCUUCCUCACACAAGUAUAUUUUCUUUCCAGCUACAGUGUGACUAGAUUAGCAAACAUGGAAUUAAUUAAUUAAAUAAAUAAAUAAAAUAAAAAAAAUAAUAAUACUAAUAAAAAUAAAAAAGUCAACAAAGAAUAGCAAACACACAGAUGACUGUUCACCUUGUUUAUUCUAAAUAAAAUAUUGCACCAAAAUAACUAAAAUUGUCGAAAUAACAAUGAAGAUGUUUGUCAUGAAGCCCCUGUAUCCCUGAAAAGUCGUCUUCGUAUUAAAAACCUGUGCUGUGAUGACCUCUUGUGGCUGAUUCUCGGUAUUACACUAAAUAAGAAAUGGCUAAAUCUGCGUUAAACUAGUCUAUUCUUUACAUUUAGACUUCAGCUUUAACAUAAUGCAUAGAGGCUUGGUACUUAUAGAGAGCUUUAAGACAUUGAAAGUCAUAGGUACCCAAGUUCCUCUAUACCUGGAAGCUGACUUCUGCUCUACUGGUUUCAUUCUGAUGUCUGGAUUUGACUCAUGUACUUAUGCCUUUGACCAAAAUUUACAUUCAUUUUAGUCCU